CCAGACUCCUACGGGAGGCAGCAGUGAGGAAUAUUGGUCAAUGGACGCAAGUCUGAACCAGCCAAGUAGCGUGCAGGAUGACGGCCCUAUGGGUUGUAAACUGCUUUUAUAUGGGGAUAAAGUGGGGAACGUGUUCCCUUUUGCAGGUACCAUAUGAAUAAGGACCGGCUAAUUCCGUGCCAGCAGCCGCGGUAAUACGGAAGGUUCGGGCGUUAUCCGGAUUUAUUGGGUUUAAAGGGAGCGUAGGCCGUUUGGUAAGCGUGUUGUGAAAUGUAGGAGCUCAACUUCUAGAUUGCAGCGCGAACUGUCAGACUUGAGUGCGCACAACGUAGGCGGAAUUCAUGGUGUAGCGGUGAAAUGCUUAGAUAUCAUGAAGAACUCCGAUUGCGAAGGCAGCUUACGGGAGCGCAACUGACGCUGAAGCUCGAAGGUGCGGGUAUCGAACAGGAUUAGAUACCCUGGUAGUCCGCACAGUAAACGAUGGAUGCCCGCUGUUAGCACCUAGUGUUAGCGGCUAAGCGAAAGCAUUAAGCAUCCCACCUGGGGAGUACGCCGGCAACGGUGAAACUCAAAGGAAUUGACGGGGGCCCGCACAAG
rnacentral:rRNA from 1 species